AUUGAACGCUGGCGGCAUGCCUUACACAUGCAAGUCGAACGGUAACAGGUCUUCGGAUGCUGACGAGUGGCGAACGGGUGAGUAAUACAUCGGAACGUGCCUAGUAGUGGGGGAUAACUACUCGAAAGAGUGGCUAAUACCGCAUGCGAUCUACGGAUGAAAGCAGGGGAUCGCAAGACCUUGUGCUACUAGAGCGGCCGAUGGCAGAUUAGGUAGUUGGUGGGAUAAAAGCUUACCAAGCCGACGAUCUGUAGCUGGUCUGAGAGGACGAUCAGCCACACUAGGACUGAGACACGGCCCAGACUCCUACGGGAGGCAGCAGUGGGGAAUUUUGGACAAUGGGCGAAAGCCUGAUCCAGCAAUGCCGCGUGCAGGAUGAAGGCCUUCGGGUUGUAAACUGCUUUUGUACGGAACGAAAAGCCCCGGGUUGAUACCCUGGGGUCAUGACGGUACCGUAAGAAUAAGCACCGGCUAACUACGUGCCAGCCGCCGCCGUAA
rnacentral:rRNA from 1 species